CCAAAAAAAAAGAAAGAAAAAAAAACAAAAAAAAAACAAAACAAAAA
rnacentral:ribozyme from 1 species